rnacentral:rRNA from 1 species
AGUGAACGCUGGCGGUAGGCCUAACACAUGCAAGUCAACGGCAGCACAGUAAGAGCUUGCUCUUACGGGUGGCGAGUGGCGGACGGGUGAGGAAUACAUCGGAAUCUACUUUUUCGUGGGGGAUAACGUAGGGAAACUUACGCUAAUACCGCAUACGACCUACGGGUGAAAGCAGGGGAUCUUCGGACCUUGCGCGAUUGAAUGAGCCGAUGUCGGAUUAGCUAGUUGGCGGGGUAAAGGCCCACCAAGGCGACGAUCCGUAGCUGGUCUGAGAGGAUGAUCAGCCACACUGGAACUGAGACACGGUCCAGACUCCUACGGGAGGCAGCAGUGGGGAAUAUUGGACAAUGGGCGCAAGCCUGAUCCAGCCAUACCGCGUGGGUGAAGAAGGCCUUCGGGUUGUAAAGCCCUUUUGUUGGGAAAGAAAAGCAGCAGGUUAAUACCCCGCUGUUCUGACGGUACCCAAAGAAUAAGCACCGGCUAACUUCGUG